rnacentral:rRNA from 1 species
GACGAACGCUGGCGGCGUGCUUAACACAUGCAAGUCGAACGGACAGGCCCUGCUUUUGUGGGGUGCUCGUGUGGCGAACGGGUGAGUAAAACGCGAGUAACCCCUCCUUAACUUUCGGAUAACUCCAGGAAACUGCGGCUAAUACCGGAUAGGAGCUCCUGCUGCAUGGGGGGGGUUGGAAAGUUUCGGCGGUUGUGGAUGGACUGGCGGCUUAUCAGCUUGUUGGUGGAGUAGUGGAUUACCAAGGUUUUGACGGGUAGCCGGCCUGGGAGGGUGACCGGGGACAAGGGGACUAAGAGACGGCCCAGACGCCUACGGGAGGCAGUAGGGGGGAAUAUUGCGCAAUGGGGGGAAGCCUGAGGCAACGACGCCGGGUGCGGGAUGACGGCCUACGAGGUGUAAACCGCUGUCGCCUGUGACGAAGCGGGAGUGACGGUAAUGGGUAAAGAAGCACCGGCUAACUACGUG